rnacentral:rRNA from 1 species
AUGCGUAGGAAUCUACCUAGUAGUAUGGAAUAGCCAUUAGAAAUGAUGGGUAAUACUGUAUAAUCCCUGCGGGGGAAAGAUUUAUCGCUAUUAGAUGAGCCUACGUUAGAUUAGCUAGUUGGUAAGGUAAUGGCUUACCAAGGCUAUGAUCUAUAGCUGGUCUGAGAGGACGAUCAGCCACACUGGAACUGAGAUACGGUCCAGACUCCUACGGGAGGCAGCAGUGGGGAAUAUUGGACAAUGGGCGAAAGCCUGAUCCAGCUAUGCCGCGUGAGUGAAGAAGGCCUUCGGGUUGUAAAACUCUUUCAAUAGGGAAGAUAAUGA